rnacentral:rRNA from 1 species
UACGGGGGGGAGCAAGCGUUUGUUCGGAUUUACUGGGCGUAAAGGGCGCGUAGGCGGCCUCUGCAAGUCGACUGUGAAAUCUCCGGGCUUAACCCGGAAAGGUCAGCCGAUACUGCAGGGCUAGAGUGCAGAAGGGGCAACUGGAAUUCUCGGUGUAGCGGUGAAAUGCGUAGAUAUCGAGAGGAACACCUGCGGCGAAGGCGGGUUGCUGGGCUGAUACUGACGCUGAGGCGCGGAAAGCCAGGGGAGCGAACGGG